rnacentral:rRNA from 1 species
AUUGAACGCUGGCGGCAUGCCUUACACAUGCAAGUCGAACGGCAGCAUGGAGAGCUUGCUCUCAGAUGGCGAGUGGCGAACGGGUGAGUAAUGCAUCGGAACGUACCGUGUAAUGGGGGAUAACGUAGCGAAAGUUACGCUAAUACCGCAUACGACCUGAGGGUGAAAGCAGGGGAUCGCAAGACCUUGCGUUAUACGAGCGGCCGAUGUCAGAUUAGCUAGUUGGUGAGGUAAAGGCUCACCAAGGCGACGAUCUGUAGCGGGUCUGAGAGGAUGAUCCGCCACACUGGGACUGAGACACGGCCCAGACUCCUACGGGAGGCAGCAGUGGGGAAUUUUGGACAAUGGGGGCAACCCUGAUCCAGCCAUGCCGCGCGAGUGAAGAAGGCCUUCGGGUUGUAAAGCUCUUUCGACCGGGAAGAAAUCGCACAGGCUAAUACUCUGUGUGGAUGACGGUACCGGCAUAAGAAGCACCGGCUAACUACGUGCCAGCCGCCGCGGUAA